GUGAAUCAUCGAAUCUUUGAACGCACAUUGCGCCUCUCGCAAGGGAGGCAUGCCUGUCUGAGCGUCAUUUAAAUCAUAAACCCCCUAUGGGUUUGUCAUGGGCCUCGCCUGCCUGGCGUUGCCUCAAAGUCAUUUGGUCUAAAAAGCGGACGAGAUCCUUUAGGACUAACCGUUUGGUGACCUGAAAACCUCUUGACUUGACCUCAGAUCAGGUAGGACUACCGCCUGAACUUAAGCAUAUCAAUAAGCGGAGGA
rnacentral:misc_RNA from 1 species